ensembl:snRNA U6 U6 spliceosomal RNA
GUGCUUACUACAGCAGCACAUAUACUAAAAUUGGAAGGAUACAAACAAGAUUAGCAUGGCCCCUGUGCAAAGAUGACACAAAUUCAUGAAGCAUUCCCUAUUUCA